AUCACCACCAUCACCUCCAUCACCAUCAUUCUCAUUCUUAUCCAGUAUCAUCAUCAUCAUCAUUUAUGAUACUCAUCAUUGAGCAGCUACUGGGUGCCAGGCACUCUAUAUGGCUCCUUGAGGUGCUGUUUCCUCUGCUCAAACUGCCUGGUCCCACCUGAUGUCACCUUGCUCAUCCUCCAGACUGGCUAAGAGACUCUUCCUCUGGAACAGGGUGCCAGUUGCCCAGCUGCUCCGCUGGCUCUAAGGACUCAAGACCCUACAGACUGUGGGGGUUCUCAGAGCAGUGCCAGUCCUCCUACAGCGCCAGAGACAGACAGGGAAG
rnacentral:lncRNA from 1 species